rnacentral:rRNA from 4 species
AGAGUUUGAUCCUGGCUCAGGAUGAACGCUGGCGGCGUGCCUAAUACAUGCAAGUCGAGCGAACGGACGAGAAGCUUGCUUCUCUGAUGUUAGCGGCGGACGGGUGAGUAACACGUGGAUAACCUACCUAUAAGACUGGGAUAACUUCGGGAAACCGGAGCUAAUACCGGAUAAUAUUUUGAACCGCAUGGUUCAAAAGUAAAAGACGGUCUUGCUGUCACUUAUAGAUGGAUCCGCGCUGCAUUAGCUAGUUGGUAAGGUAACGGCUUACCAAGGCAACGAUGCAUAGCCGACCUGAGAGGGUGAUCGGCCACACUGGAACUGAGACACGGUCCAGACUCCUACGGGAGGCAGCAGUAGGGAAUCUUCCGCAAUGGGCGAAAGCCUGACGGAGCAACGCCGCGUGAGUGAUGAAGGUCUUCGGAUCGUAAAACUCUGUUAUUAGGGAAGAACAUAUGUGUAAGUAACUGUGCACAUCUUGACGGUACCUAAUCAGAAAGCCACGGCUAACUACGUGCCAGCAGCCGCGGUAAUACGUAGGUGGCAAGCGUUAUCCGGAAUUAUUGGGCGUAAAGCGCGCGUAGGCGGUUUUUUAAGUCUGAUGUGAAAGCCCACGGCUCAACCGUGGAGGGUCAUUGGAAACUGGAAAACUUGAGUGCAGAAGAGGAAAGUGGAAUUCCAUGUGUAGCGGUGAAAUGCGCAGAGAUAUGGAGGAACACCAGUGGCGAAGGCGACUUUCUGGUCUGUAACUGACGCUGAUGUGCGAAAGCGUGGGGAUCAAACAGGAUUAGAUACCCUGGUAGUCCACGCCGUAAACGAUGAGUGCUAAGUGUUAGGGGGUUUCCGCCCCUUAGUGCUGCAGCUAACGCAUUAAGCACUCCGCCUGGGGAGUACGACCGCAAGGUUGAAACUCAAAGGAAUUGACGGGGACCCGCACAAGCGGUGGAGCAUGUGGUUUAAUUCGAAGCAACGCGAAGAACCUUACCAAAUCUUGACAUCCUUUGACAACUCUAGAGAUAGAGCCUUCCCCUUCGGGGGACAAAGUGACAGGUGGUGCAUGGUUGUCGUCAGCUCGUGUCGUGAGAUGUUGGGUUAAGUCCCGCAACGAGCGCAACCCUUAAGCUUAGUUGCCAUCAUUAAGUUGGGCACUCUAAGUUGACUGCCGGUGACAAACCGGAGGAAGGUGGGGAUGACGUCAAAUCAUCAUGCCCCUUAUGAUUUGGGCUACACACGUGCUACAAUGGACAAUACAAAGGGCAGCGAAACCGCGAGGUCAAGCAAAUCCCAUAAAGUUGUUCUCAGUUCGGAUUGUAGUCUGCAACUCGACUACAUGAAGCUGGAAUCGCUAGUAAUCGUAGAUCAGCAUGCUACGGUGAAUACGUUCCCGGGUCUUGUACACACCGCCCGUCACACCACGAGAGUUUGUAACACCCGAAGCCGGUGGAGUAACCUUUUAGGAGCUAGCCGUCGAAGGUGGGACAAAUGAUUGGGGUGAAGUCGUAACAAGGUAGCCGUAUCGGAAGGUGCGGCUGGGUCACCU